CCUGGCAGGGAGCAUAAAAAGCAAUAAGAAAAGUUUGUGUAAAUACAUUAAGAGCAAGAUAAAGAUGAAGAAAAGUGUAGACCCACUACUUAGUGGGGAAGGAGAGCUAAUACCAGAUGAUACCAAGAAUGC